CCCUUAGAUGUCCUGGGCUGCACGCGCGCUACACUGACUGGCUCAGCGUGUGCCUACCCUACGCCGGCAGGCGCGGGUAACCCGUUGAACCCCAUUCGUGAUGGGGAUCGGGGAUUGCAAUUAUUCCCCAUGAACGAGGAAUUCCCAGUAAGUGCGGGUCAUAAGCUUGCGUUGAUUAAGUCCCUGCCCUUUGUACACACCGCCCGUCGCUACUACCGAUUGGAUGGUUUAGUGAGGCCCUCGGAUCGGCCCCGCCGGGGUCGGCCCACGGCCCUGGCGGAGCGCUGAGAAGACGGUCGAACUUGACUAUCUAGAGGAAGUAAAAGUCGUAACA
rnacentral:rRNA from 1 species